UACGUAGGGUGCGAGCGUUAAUCGGAAUUACUGGGCGUAAAGCGUGCGUAGGCGGUUCGUUAAGUGCGUCGUGAAAGCCCCGGGCUCAACCUGGGAAUGGCGAUGGAAACUGGCGGGCUGGAGUAUGGCAGAGGGGGGUGGAAUUCCUGGUGUAGCGGUGAAAUGCGCAGAUAUCAGGAGGAACACCGAUGGCGAAGGCAGGUCUCUGGGCCACUACUGACGCUGAGAAGCGAAAGCAUGGGGAGCGAACAGG
rnacentral:rRNA from 1 species